ACCAAUUUGCCAUGGGAGACCCUACCAGGGGGCAAAAGCCCCCAGACAACAUAGCCCCUGGGAUCCCUGGGACACACAAACCCCUCCACCACGGUAAGGUAGUGAUUCACGGAGAGGACUAUCAGCUUCAGUUAACUCUAAAUGCUCAUUUAAAAACAAUGCAUGGUGACACACUAAAAAGAUGUAAAUAUUAUCUAAAAUUUUAACCUUCUCAUCUUUACUUUGCAAAAAUACAGAAGAAAUGUGUCCUUGAGCGUAUUCAACUGUACUUGUGUUACUUUGCAGUGUCUCAAAUCACAUGAAGCCCAGUCUGGAGCUUCUUUGAUGCUCCAUGUCUGAGUGGAAAGAAAUCACUGCUCUGUUUUGUUUUACAUUUUCACCUUCUGCCCGUCUCUUCUCACUGCAGCUCAGUGUGCCUCCAGUUCUCCAGUCUCCCCAGCAAACAUAGUUUCUCCCCCUUCCUCGGCUGACUUUCCCAUCUCAACCCACACCAUGAAGGUGUGAUUCUCACAAGUUCAAGCCCUGGGCGCUGUUAAGGUUGAUGGAGCAUCUUUCUGAGGAUUGACUCAAAAAACUGGAAAGUCUCAGAAAAUGGAAAAAGAAAGACCAAAUUUUUACAACAAAAUCAUUUAAAUAUGUCAAAUUAAAUUUCUGGGAGGUAAUAACAAUUUGAAAUCCAAAAGAAUGGGGUAAGACUCAUGAACUCAAGACUCCUCCUGUUAUAUAUGCACUGUAAUGACAAAGGAACACUUCAGAUUACUUAGCAUACUUCUUUUUCUUUUAGCUCAGGAUAUAUCCUACAAAGUAGAAAUUACUGAAAAACUAACAAGGGAACAUAGCAUAUAAGAAGCUCUCGCUGAAGAUCAACUAUGAAAAAAAGCUACAGAGAGUAUGAAGAGAGACAGUUUCUAAGAGUGUGAUGUAAAUGAAUCUAAAGAUGCAUCUGGGCCCUGAAAGCCAAAGUUGAAGAACCAACCAGCCCAACUACUAGCCUGUGAAGCUCAGUGAGGAGUGAGGCUAUGGAUAUUUAUUCACACUGGUUGAAGUCUUUGGAAAGUUUCGUGUAACAGAAUCACAUUUUCUUUACGGUCAGAUGCUGUGUAAAAUGCAAAUAAAAACAGAAUGUAAUGAUUUACAAACAAAUUAAUUACGUUUAUGAAAACGGUACAAGAAAAACUAUAUAUAAUAAAAAGGAGAAAUUUUUUUGAAAAGAAGAA